GAAAAGAACUUUGAAAAGAGAGUAAAACAGUACGUGAAAUUGUUGAAAGGGAAACGAUUAAAGUCAGUCGUACGGACGGGGAAUCAGCCUUUCGAGCGUGGAUACGCGGGAUUCGGAGAGCCCUUCGACCUCGCGUAUUUGAGUUCUUUUGGUGUACUUUCCCGUGACGUAGGUCAGCGUCGGUUUUGAACGCCAUAAAAUGAUCGGAGGAAUGUGGCUCUGAUCUCGUAUCGGAGUGUUAUAGCCUUUGGUAGAUGUGACGAUUGGGAUCGAGGAUUGCAACGAAUACCCUUUGGGCUAUCCGUCUGACCUCUGAAAGUCGCUCGGGUGUUGAAAGCGUGCUUAUGAUGUUAACGUGGGCGGUCAAAAGGUCAGAACGGAUUAAAUUCGUUAAGGAUGU
rnacentral:rRNA from 1 species